CUUUAGCACCAAGUAUUAAAGGUGACGCCUGCCCAGUGAUUAUUUAAACGGCCGCGGGAUCCUCCACCGUGCAAAGGUAGCAUAAUCACUUGUCCCCUAAAUAGUGACUAGUAUGAACGGCCUAAUGAAGAUUUAACUGUCUCUUAUAACUGAUCUAUGAAACUAAUCUAUCAGUACAAAAACUGAAAUAUUUACAUAAGACGAAAAGACCCUGUGGAACUUCAAGCACACCUCAACCACAAUGAUUCAUCUGCUUUUAGUUGGGGCAACUUUGGAAUAAAACAAAACUUCCAACACUUUAAUGGUCCACACACCUAUCUUUUUUUCCCGGACCCAGUCCUACUGAUUAAAGAACCAAGCUACCCCAGGGAUAACAGCGCCAUCCCCUCCAAGAGCCCAAAUCGACGAGCGGGGUUUACGACCUCGAUGUUGGAUCAGGGCCCCCAAACAGUGCAACAGCUGUUAAAGGUUUGUUUGUUCAACAAUUAAAGC
rnacentral:rRNA from 1 species